rfam:Myotis brandtii contig304450, whole genome shotgun sequence.
GGCAGCUCAGUUGGUUAGAGUGUUGUCCUGAUAGGCCAAAGUUUCAGGUUCAAGUCCUGGCCA